rnacentral:rRNA from 1 species
GACGAACGCUGGCGGCGUGCUUAACACAUGCAAGUCGAACGGAAAGGCCCUGCUUUUGUGGGGUGCUCGAGUGGCGAACGGGUGAGUAACACGUGAGUAACCUGCCCUUGACUUUGGGAUAACUUCAGGAAACUGGGGCUAAUACCGGAUAGGAGCUCCUGCUGCAUGGUGGGGGUUGGAAAGUUUCGGCGGUUGGGGAUGGACUCGCGGCUUAUUAGCUUGUUGGUGGGGUAGUGGCUUACCAAGGCUUUGACGGGUAGCCGGCCUGAGAGGGUGACCGGCCACAUUGGGACUGAGAUACGGCCCAGACUCCUACGGGAGGCAGCAGUGGGGAAUAUUGCACAAUGGGCGGAAGCCUGAUGCAGCAACGCCGCGUGCGGGAUGACGGCCUUCGGGCUGUAAACCGCUUUCGCCUGUGACGAAGCGUGAGUGACGGUAAUGGGUAAAGAAGCACCGGCUAACUACGUG